rnacentral:rRNA from 1 species
CCUGGCUCAGGAUGAACGCUAGCGACAGGCCUAACACAUGCAAGUCGAGGGGCAGCACAAGGAGCAAUCUGAGGUGGCGACCGGCGCACGGGUGGGUAACACGUAUGCAACCUGCCUGUAAGCGGGGAAUAACCCGUUGAAAGACGGACUAAUACCGCAUAAUACUAAAUUACUGCAUGGUAAUUUAUUUAAACAUUUAUGGCUUACAGAUGGGCAUGCGCAUGAUUAGCUAGUUGGAGAGGUAACGGCUCCCCAAGGCAACGAUCAUUAGGGGUUCUGAGAGGAAGGUCCCCCCACACUGGUACUGAGACACGGACCAGACUCCUACGGGAGGCAGCAGUGAGGAAUAUUGGUCAAUGGACGAGAGUCUGAACCAGCCAAGUCGCGUGCAGGAAGAAUUGUCCUAUGGAUUGUAAACUGCUUUUGCAGGGGAAUAAAGUGCAUCACGUGUGAUGUUUUGUAUGUACUCUGCGAAUAAGGAUCGGCUAACUCCGUGCCAGCCGCCGC